GAUGAACGCUGGCGGCGUGCUUAACACAUGCAAGUCGAACGGAAAGGCUCCUGCUUGCAGGGGUACUCGAGUGGCGAACGGGUGAGUAACACGUGGGUGAUCUGCCCUGCACUUCGGGAUAAGCCUGGGAAACUGGGUCUAAUACCGGAUAGGACGAUGGUUUGGAUGCCAUUGUGGAAAGUUUUUCGGUGUGGGAUGAGCUCGCGGCCUAUCAGCUUGUUGGUGGGGUAAUGGCCUACCAAGGCGUCGACGGGUAGCCGGCCUGAGAGGGUGUACGGCCACAUUGGGACUGAGAUACGGCCCAGACUCCUACGGGAGGCAGCAGUGGGGAAUAUUGCACAAUGGGCGCAAGCCUGAUGCAGCGACGCCGCGUGGGGGAUGACGGCCUUCGGGUUGUAAACUCCUUUCGCUAGGGACGAAGCGCAAGUGACGGUACCUGGAGAAGAAGCACUGGCUAACUACGUG
rnacentral:rRNA from 1 species